AUUGAACGCUGGCGGCAUGCCUAACACAUGCAAGUCGAACGGCAGCGGUAUCUAGCUUGCUAGAUAGCCGGCGAGUGGCGAACGGGUGAGUAAUGCGUAGGAAUAUACCUUAAAGAGGGGGAUAACCUGGGGAAACGUCAGGCUAAUACCGCGUACGCUCUGAGGAGUAAAGCUGGGGACCUUCGGGCCUGGCGCUUUAAGAAUAGCCUGCGUCCGAUUAGCUAGUUGGUGAGGUAAAGGCUCACCAAGGCGACGAUCGGUAGCUGGUCUGAGAGGAUGAACAGCCACACUGGGACUGAGACACGGCCCAGACUCCUACGGGAGGCAGCAGUGGGGAAUAUUGGGCAAUGGGCGGAAGCCUGACCCAGCAACGCCGCGUGGAGGAAGACGG
rnacentral:rRNA from 1 species